rnacentral:sRNA from 1 species
UGUUUUGACCGAAUAUGGGCCUGCAAA